GACAGCAGCAGCCGCGGGAAUACGGAGGGGGCUAGCGUUGUUCGGAAUUACUGGGCGUAAAGCGCACGUAGGCGGCUUGGUAAGUUAGAGGUGAAAGCCUGGAGCUCAACUCCAGAAUUGCCUUUAAGACUGCCGAGCUAGCAGGUGAGAGAGGUAAGUGGAAUUCCGAGUGUAGAGGUGAAAUUCGUAGAUAUUCGGAAGAACACCAGUGGCGAAGGCGGCUUACUGGCUCAUACUGGACGCUGAGGUGCGAAAGCGUGGGGAGCAAACAGGAUUAGAUACCCCUGUAGUCCCUGUCUCUUAUAC
rnacentral:rRNA from 1 species